GACAGAGGGUGCAAACGUUGCUCGGAAUCACUGGGCGUAAAGGGCGCGUAGGCGGCCCGGCAAGUCAACGGUGAAAGCUUGGGGCUCAACCCCGAGUCGGCCGUCGAUACUUCCGGGCUGGAGCACUGUAGAGGCAGGUGGAAUUCCGGGUGUAGCGGUGGAAUGCGUAGAGAUCCGGAAGAACACCGGUGGCGAAGGCGGCCUGCUGGGCCGACACUGACACUGAGAGACGAAAGCUAGGGGAGCGAAUGGG
rnacentral:rRNA from 1 species